rnacentral:rRNA from 1 species
UACAGAGGGUGCGAGCGUUAAUCGGAAUUACUGGGCGUAAAGCGUGCGUAGACGGUCAAGUAAGUCGGGUGUGAAAGCCCCGGGCUCAACCUGGGAAUUGCAUUCGAGACUGCGUGGCUAGGGUGCGGAAGAGGGAAGCGGAAUUUCCGGUGUAGCGGUGAAAUGCGUAGAUAUCAUUUGGAACGCCAAUGGUGAAGACAGCUCGCUGGGGGUGUACUGACACUGAGACACGAAAGCCAGGGGAGCGAACGGG